CAGGUUAAGGAGUUCAUCUCCUGCGUGAAGUAAAGGCUGCCUUGUCCAAACUUUGUUCCUAAUUAGCUAAGCUCUAUGUUGACUUGACCCAGCACGACAAUUUGACAGGCAUUUCGCAUUCAGUGGCGACGUGUGGCUGGCGAGCCAUCGAUGAGUGCAAGAAAACGUACAUCGGCUUUGAUUGGAUUCGUCGUCUCUUGGGCGUUGAGGUGGAUCUUGUGGAGAUGCUGCGUGCGUGCCUGCAUGAGUCGAUGCAUUAAGAAAGGAAUUUAUCUAUCAGAUCAGUUUAAUUAAGUCUGCUCUUAGUUUAACUAGCUUUCAACCGGCGAAUCUGCCAGACAGAUUGGCGAACGAACCGGCGAAUCUGCUCUUAGUUAAGCAAGAUAUUGGAUUCGACUCGAUCAUCAGGGUACAGUGUUUUACCGGUGGGCUUGCCCUUCGUUUCGUUACGUUAAAUUGUUGCUACUUUCGUUCCGUUUCAUGCUAUUAUCUAGAUUUAUACACGUAUCAGUAUGUGUCUGUCUUAUUCAUAUGUAUCUAUAUAAGAACAUAAAAUCUUACAGUGUGAAAUAAAUCGGAAAGUAUGUUAUAAUAGUU